AUAGACAAUGAGUUCCUAGAAGGGAUUACAUAUUUUUGUCUUCAGGAUCUUUAGGAGUUUCGUCAAACUUGAGAAUAAAGACGUCAUUUGAAUCGCUAGCAGAAACCCACUUGGGGCUGUGCUACCUUUAGAGGUCAAAGAAUUUCUAACUAUUCAACUUCAGGUAAGCAAGGAAGUACACAACAACAAGGGGACUUUAGUAUUCAACCCACGUGACUACGUGUGAUAGUCACGGAACACGGUUUCCAAUCUCGGGAAAUCGUUUAUUGCUAAUACCUUAUCAGUGGAUGGGCGGAUUCCAUCAGACGCUUUGGUAUAUAGUUUACUUCAGCUUGUCCGAGAAGUGACAAAGGUUCAUCUGGGGUUGAAAAAAGACACACCAAGAUAUCGUCUACGUAAACGAAACUGAAGUUGAGAUCUCCAAACACGGUAGUUAAGUGUCCCUAAAAGGUAUGAGGUAUAUAACUCAAAUGGUGUUUCGUUGUCUUUGAUAUGUCCUUGUCGGUUACGAGAAUUUGGUGGUAUGCGUGCAUUAGGUCAGUGGUGGAGAAAAAGAUCUUCUCUUCUAGUCUAUUUGCGAAGUCUAGAAUGUGCCGAUUUGGUAUUAAUCCGGGGUUGUCACUCGGUAGUUUUUGCAGGUACAGCAUUCUCCAGGAGCUUUUUUGGGGACCAGAUGCAGUAAACUAGCCCAAGGGCUGCUGGAGGCUCAGGUGAGGUCAACGCAGGUCAGGUCAGAUCAGCGCAAACCCCUGAAGAAAUAAGGGAGAUAAUCCAAAAAUAAUGACCUGAAAAAGCAUAUGUAAGAAAGAUCGAUAAGACUGAAAAGUGGAGGUAGACGAAGAAAACUUUAGCGACCACAACAGUAUCGUGUUUGAACUUAUACUCCGACAAAAAAAAAGCAAAACUUACUGAAAACGGUAGAACGAAUAUCGGAAAAUUAACUAACAGGGUAGGGGAAAUAGAAAAAACGAAUACCUUUACAUAGAAUUUUAGGAAAGAAUUAGAAAAAAACUAAAUAUGUAAGUAUGUACACCAACAUGGAUUCCGGAAAAAGAGAUCGACGGUAGAUGGGAUACGAACGGUGAAGGAGAUAGUGUGUAGAAAAAAUAAACCUCCCAGAGACAGAAAGGUGGUGGUAAUAGUAGCGCUAGAUAUCAUUAAUACGACCGAUUGGCGCAUAACCCUAGAAGAACUGGAAAAGAAAAAAGUGCAACUACACCCAUUCGAAUAAUACAAAGAUACCUAGAAGACAGGUGGAUAGAAACAGAGUACCGUAUGUUCCAAAUGUCAUGUGGCGUACUGCACGGUUCCGUUAUGAGGCCGUAAGACAAAGACCAUGAUGCUAAACUUGGAGGAGGGUGGACCUCCUGUGAAGACCGGCGAAGAGAUCCGCUAUCUAGGCGUCACAAUCGAUAAGGACAUGAAAAGAAGCCACUAAAAGAACUGACAAGAUGGUCAAUGUUCUAAAAAGAGUAAUGUCAAACAUAGGAGGGCCGAAGUCGUCGGUCAGAAAAUUUACGACGGCACUCUCUAUUGCUGUAUGGAUGCAAGAGAUGGCAGGAAACACUUAGAUGGGGUUGCUACAGAAAUCUCCUGGACAAGAUAAACCGAAAGAUACUCAUUACUCAUUAUGAUAACCAGUGAUUAUCGUACAAUCUCUACGAGCGUUCUACUUGUGAUAGCCAUGUCAAUAGACUUGAAAGUGCAGAAAAGAUGUCAAACGUAUGGGAUAAAGCGGAUGGUAAAACAAAGGCAUCGAGCAAAACACUAAUUCCAGAUCUUCAGAAAUGGAUAAACAGGAACACGGCGAGACAAACUAAUACGUGGCGCAGAUGUUUUGCGAAACAGAGACAGCGUCUCGGCAAGAGUGAAACAAGCGAAUUCUGGUAAGUGUAUGGGAAAGACGAUACAGCAGAGCACACAUUCUUUGCUUCUGCAAGAACCUCGUCGGAAUAAUGCUGGAAAGCAAGGAAAAAUGAACUGAAAUAGAAAACUUUAUACGAAAGAUAAUUGAUGCCAUGACUAAAUACGAGAAAGAGGUCCCAGAUAACUAAAAAAAGGAGAAAUUGGCGACCAGCAACCCCCCUGAAGUAACAGGUCAGGUCAGGUUUCCGCGAUUGGUGGACCAGUUCUAAAAAUGUGAUGUAUAACCGGGUUAGAUGUGUUACCACCUGAAGCCAGUGUUCUUGUUAAGCGCAAGGCUGUUGACACUUUCGUGCACCCUCUAUCUAAAUGUGUCUUGACAAUAAUAAUAUGAAGUUAUUCUAUCGCCGGAACGUCUUCUUUCCCACAAUGUGGAUUUUCUUAGUUUUGGCCAUAUUGUGGUUAACCAAUCGCCAAC